rnacentral:lncRNA from 1 species
AUAUGCAAUAAAAGUUUUUAAUCUUAUCUACCUAAAAUAUAUACACAGCCAAAACAUGCCCGAUACGCUGUCAUGGCAUAUUGAAAUGUAAAAGUGUUGGACAUAUAGUUUACUAACAUCAAAAAUUAACAUCCCUAAAAAAUCUUAUUCGUUGAUAAUCAAUUGAGCUAAGAUAUACUACAAAAUAAAAGUUUACAAAGAAAUGAGAGAUGAUAGGUAAUAGAAAAGUUUUCUGAAUGAACAGCAAAUAUAGGACAUACAGCGUUUCACGGGAGAAGAGGGUAUGACUGCUUUGUGAGGAAAUACUUCGUGCAAGUUAGUCAGUUUUCUAUUUUUCUGCAUUCUAAUCAAUGAUAAAAUGUUAAUUUUCAGACUUUUUAGAUUUAAUUUCUAAUGUAUUGACUACAGAAGUAGUGAUAGUAAUUGAUAAAAAGAAUAUACAGGCUAAGGAGGAAGAACCACAGAUUCGUGAAUGAAAGAUUUGCAUGUUUUUAAAAUUUAUAGUAGAGAAAUGUUCUCAUGAAUUUACCUGUGAUUAACCUUUUGUAGAUCAGAUGAUCCCAUCAGAAUCCAAACAAAAGGAAGAGGAAGAAAAUUCUUGGGAUUUAGAGAGUGACCGUGAGACUGUUUCACAGAAGGAUGUGUGUUUACCCAGGACUGCACCUCAAAAAGAAUUCCACAUGAUAAGUGGAAAAUUAGAAGAUCAGAUGAUCCCAUCAGAAUCCAAACAAAAGGACAAAGAAGAAAAUUCUUGGGAUUUAGAGAGUGACCGUGAGACUGUUUCACAGAAGGAUGUGUGUUUACCCAAGGCUACACCUCAAAAAGAAUUCCAUACAAUAAGUGAAAAAUUAGAAGAGUCUCCUCAUAAAGAUGGUCUUCUGAAGCCUACUUGUGGAAUGAAAGUUUCUAUUCCAAAUAAAGCCUUAGAAGUGAAGGAUAUACAAACAUUCAAAGCAGGUAAAUUUUGUAAUUUUAAUUUUACUCUGGAAAGAAGAAUAUUAAAAUAUUUGAAAUGCUGAGAGCCUUAUAUUCCCAAUGUUGUUUUCUUUUCAAAAUUUGAUGGGAAAAUUUGAUACAAAUAAUGCCAAUGUUAGUAUUUAUGUUUGAAAAAAUGCCAUUUACAAGCAUAAGAUUUAGAGAUUAAAAAAAAAAAUCCGCUUUACUUCAUGUGGUUCAACUUUAAUGUCCUGAUAGUAUAAAGUUUCCAACUUGCAAUUUCUGUAUGUGCUUGGUUUUAAGGCAGGUGAAAUUUGAGACUGUCAAAUAUUUGCAGUGGUUCAAAUACUGACUGGAAUUCUGGUAAUUACCUAGAGGAAAAUUUCACUUGCUGACAUGACAGUUGUGAGUGUUGUUACUCUGAGAAUCUAAAGAAAAUCAGUUUUUUUUCCUUUU